rnacentral:ncRNA from 1 species
UAGGCCUGGGGGUCGGCCGCGAACUGAUUCAGACCAGCGUGUCACUGAGGCAAAUACACCACUGAGACACUGCGCCCCCAUCUUCAUCGAUUCUUUGCUUAUUCAGUAAGAAGAGGAUUGAAUUUCGAGUCAUUAUUUUUUGUGCUAAAUGCGGUCACCUGGUUACUAUACUACUCUCGCCAAAGGCAGUGUAAUGCGGAAAGUUUGAUUGGUGCAGUGAAUCUGUCAAACGUUAACACAGGAGUCCUAAGGUUACAUCAAAGAGGAGGGAAAUAUAUCGUAAAGAAAUUACCUCAGAGAGCAAGAAAAAUUUCUCGUAGAGGAGAAGAGCAAACACUUGAUUGAUCUUAACUUUCUGUACAAGUGCUGGCUGAGAAAGCGUGGCUCCAAUGUUUGCUAUUCUUUGACCAAAGCAUUUGUAAAUUGAGUAUCUUGACCGUAAUCUUGUUUGCAGUACUGGAGGU